AGGAGUUGGACUGGCCAUGGCCACUUGCCAUGGCUCUUGGCUGAGAACACUUGGUGGGGAGAGAUUCCGCCCUCUAUUCCUGUCCCCGGGAAGAUGAAAAGUAAACCUUAAUAUGAAGCCGCGUUUUGCCAGUUCCAGGUGCAAAAACUCAUUCCAAUUAACAGCCUGCUGGUUGAUCUUCAAAAACGUCCCAAUGAAGUCUUCGCUCAAGGUUUCGUCUCCAGCCGGAGAGCUGCCUGCCUCAUGCUACUCUGAACAAGAAUCAGACCUUGUCUUCUCCAGAAAGCAGGAAAGUGUUAUCAGAUUUUCAUUUGCAAAGACAUCAUAGAGAAUCUGACACUGUGUAUUAGACUCCAAAAAAACCUUAAAAUGGAUUAAAAAUACAGAUAUUUGGGGGAAAUUUGUGUUUGUACUGAACAUGUGCAGACUUUUUAUUGUUAUUUCAUAAACUUUUCAUAAUACAGUGUAACAACUGUUUACAUGUGUUGUGGUUUGCAUGUGAGGUAUCCCCCAAAAACUCACAUGUGAGACAAUGUGAGAGGAUUCAGAGGGGAAAUGAUUGGGUUGUGAGAGCCUUAACCCAAUCAGGGGAUUAUCCCCUGAUGGGAUUAACUGAGUGGUAACUGGAGGGGGAUGUGGCUGGAGGAGGUGGGUCAUUGGGGGCGUGACUUUGGGGUAUAUAUUUGUAUUUGGCAUGAGGAGUCUCUCAGUGCUUUCCGAUCAUCAUGUGAGCCGCUUCCUUCUGCCACAUGUCUUCUGCCAUGAUGUUCAGCCUCACCUUGAGCCCUGAGGAGUGGAG